AUACGGAGGGUGCAAGCGUUACUCGGAAUCACUGGGCGUAAAGCGCGCGCAGGCGGCUUGAUAAGUUGGAUGUGAAAGCCUACGGCUCAACCGUAGAACUGCAUCCAAAACUGUCAGGCUAGAGUGUGGGAGAGGAAGAUGGAAUUAGUUGUGUAGGGGUAAAAUCCGUAGAGAUAACUAGGAAUACCAAAAGCGAAGGCAAUCUUCUGGAACACUACUGACGCUGAGGCGCGAAGGCGUGGGGAGCAAACAGGAGUAGAUACCCUAGUAGUCC
rnacentral:rRNA from 1 species